GUGCUCACUUUGGCAGCACUCAUACUAAAAUUGAAACAAUACCAGAGAAGAUUAGC
rnacentral:snRNA from 1 species